UUGGAGGAUCCCAGAUUCCUAUGUCACUGGUUGAAGGAGCGACUACCAGAGCAGCAACCUGAUGUGAUGGACUGUGAUGUUUCCUCUAGGAUACAGCAAAUAUCUGAAUUGUUUUGUUUUGUCUUGAUCCAAUUUGAGGAUAUCUUUCCUUUAACUGGGCAUUUUGCUGUGGAGCCCGCUGCCACUGGUUUUUGCACAGUAGGCCAGAAGUGCCAGGGAAUGUAUGACCCUCAGGAGCAGCUCUGACUCAAUCAAUGCCUGAAAGAAACUGGUGUACAAAUAUCCCACCUCCUUCUGUCCUUUAUGGAAUAACUGAGGGUCCCUGAGCUAGAAGAAUGUGAGCCCGGAGCUUUCUGUGCCACGUCUGGAGGAAGCCUGUCUGCCACCACGAAGAAUGAAAGAGCGGAGGCAGCUGGAGAGCAAAGGGAUCCUGACAACAUGGUUUGAGUUCCAGAAUCCGAUCAACAUAAAGGCCAGCACCACCCGUUGACUGGAAUGCUGUGACGUCUAAAUGAGAGAAGUCAUGUCAAGCACCAAGUGUGCAGAGCAA